GACGUAGGGGACGAGCGUUGUCCGGAUUCAUUGGGCGUAAAGCGCGCGUAGGCGGUUUGGUAAGUCGGAUGUGAAAACCAGAGGCUCAACCUCUGGCCUGCAUUCGAUACUGCCGUGCUUGAGGACUGGAGAGGAGACUGGAAUUUACGGUGUAGCAGUGAAAUGCGUAGAGAUCGUAAGGAAGACCAGUGGCGAAGGCGGGUCUCUGGACAGUUCCUGACACUGAGGCACGAAGGCCAGGGGAGCAAACGGG
rnacentral:rRNA from 1 species